rnacentral:misc_RNA from 2 species
AACGCACAUUGCGCCCGCUAGUAUUCUGGCGGGCAUGCCUGUCCGAGCGUCAUUUCAACCCUCAAGCCCCCGGGCUUGGUGUUGGGGAUCGGCGAGCCUCCGCGCCCGCCGUCCCCUAAAUCUAGUGGCGGUCUCGCUGUAGCUUCCUCUGCGUAGUAGCACACCUCGCACUGGGAAACAGCGCGGCCACGCCGUUAAACCCCCAACUUCUGAACGUUUGACCUCGGAUCAGGUAGGAAUACCCGCUGAACUUAA